GACGAACGCUGGCGGCGUGCCUAAUACAUGCAAGUCGAGCGCUGAAGGUUGGUACUUGUUCCGACUGGAUGAGCAGCGAACGGGUGAGUAACGAGUGGGGCAUCUGCCUUCGAGCGGGGGACAACAUAUGAACACGAAUGAUAAUACCGCAUAAACACUUUAAACACAAGUUGUAAGCUUGAAAGAUGCAAUUGCUUCAAUCAAAUGUGAUCCCGCGUUGUAUUAGCUAGUUGGUGAGGUAAAGGCUCACCAAGGCGAUGAUCGAUAGCCGACCUGCGAGGGUGAGCGUGCACAGUGGGAUUGAGACACGGCCCAAACUCCGACGGGAGGGAGCAGUAGGGGAUCGGCGGCAAUGGACGAAAGUCGGAGCGUGAAGCGCCGCGUGAGUGAAGAAGGUGUUCGGAUCGUAGUACUCAGCUGGUAGAGAAGAACGUGAAGGAGAGUGGAUAGCACAUCAAGGGACGGAGUGUACGCAGAAAGGGACGGCAAAUUACGU
rnacentral:rRNA from 1 species